rnacentral:rRNA from 1 species
UAGGGAAUCUUCGGCAAUGGGGGCAACCCUGACCGAGCAACGCCGCGUGAGUGAAGAAGGUUUUCGGAUCGUAAAGCUCUGUUGUAAGAGAAGAACGUGUGUGAGAGUGGAAAGUUCACACAGUGACGGUAACUUACCAUAAAGGGACGGCUAACUACGUGCCAGCAGCCGCGGUAAUACGUAGGUCCCGAGCGUUGUCCGGAUUAAUUGGGCGUAAAGCGAGCGCGGGCGGUUUAAUAAGUCUGAAGUUAAAGGCAGUGGCUUAACCAUUGUUCGCUUUGGAAACUGUUAAACUUGAGUGCAGAAGGGGAGAGUGGAAUUCCAUGUGUAGCGGUGAAAUGCGUAGAUAUAUGGAGGAACACCGGUGGCGAAAGCGGCUCUCUGGUCUGUAACUGACGCUGAGGCUCGAAAGCGUGGGGAGCAAACAGG